GCUCCACUUCCACUGGGGCAGCCCGGCUGGGAACGGCUCCGAGCACACCCUCGAUGGGCGCCAGCUCCCCAUGGAGAUGCACAUUGUCCACAUGAAUGCCAAGUACCAGACACUGGCAGAGGCCAAGGGGCAUCCCAAUGGGCUGGCUGUCCUCGGCUUCUUCUUCCAGGUCUCUGAAACCACUAACACCAACUACAACACCAUCGUGGCAGGGCUGAGGAAUGUCUCCCAUGCAGGGGACUCCGUGGAUUUGGCCUCCACGUUCCGCCUGAGCACGCUGCUGCCGCCUGCCGCCCGCCU